AACGAACGCUGGCGGCAUGCCUAACACAUGCAAGUCGAACGAGACCUUCGGGUCUAGUGGCGCACGGGUGCGUAACGCGUGGGAACCUGCCCUUAGGUUCGGAAUAACUCCCCGAAAGGGGUGCUAAUACCGGAUAAUGUCUUCGGACCAAAGAUUUAUCGCCUUUGGAUGGGCCCGCGUUGGAUUAGCUAGUUGGUAGGGUAAAAGCCUAUCAAGGCGACGAUCCAUAGCUGGUCUGAGAGGAUGAUCAGCCACACUGGGGCUGAGACACGGCCCAGACUCCUACGGGAGGCAGCAGUAGGGAAUAUUAGACAAUGGGCGAAAGCCUGGUCCAGCAAUGCCGCGUGAGUGAUGAAGGCCUUAGGAUUGUAAAGCUCUUUUACCCGGGAUGAUAAUGACAGUACCGGGAGAAUAAGCUCCGGCUAACUCCGUG
rnacentral:rRNA from 1 species